rnacentral:rRNA from 1 species
AUGGUUGCUCAGAUCUGGACCAGCUGCUCCUCCUACUGCUUCAGGUGGACGAGGACGAGCCCUCCAUCAUCGCUGCUGCGGCUGCCUACUCCCUCCUCCUACCUCCUGGCCUGGUGUGAUGCUAUCUUGCGUACGACUGAGCAGUCUCGGAUAUACUUCAACCCAGACAUCAACGCAACAAAUAACUUGAUUAUAAGGAACAAAUGUCAUGUGAAGCAAAUAAUUUCCUUAGAAAAAAGAGGGCCAAGAAAAAGACGCAAAAGCAUAGCUUGCUCCUUGAUUCCAGUUUCUGUAGCCACCAUUGAUAAGCAUGGGACUGAGCAAAUGAGUAUCAAAAGGAAGUCAAGGAAGCUUCGUCCUCUGGGUUGCUUGCGAUGUAGUUCUCCAGCAGCUUCAGUGCCAAGUUGUAAACUUAUGCAUUUGGGGCUAUUAAAGGGAGGCAAUUGA